rnacentral:tRNA from 1 species
GCACUAGUAGCUCAGCCCCAGAGCAUCGGUCUUGUAAGCCGAACGUCGAAGGUUAAAGUCCUUCCUACUGCU